rnacentral:rRNA from 1 species
UUAUCUGAACCUUCGGGGAACGAUAACGGCGUCCAGCGGCGGACGGGUGAGUAAUGCCUAGGAAAUUGCCCUGAUGUGGGGGAUAACCAUUGGAAACGAUGGCUAAUACCGCAUGAUGCCUACGGGCCAAAGAGGGGGACCUUCGGGCCUCUCGCGUCAGGAUAUGCCUAGGUGGGAUUAGCUAGUUGGUGAGGUAAGGGCUCACCAAGGCGACGAUCCCUAGCUGGUCUGAGAGGAUGAUCAGCCACACUGGAACUGAGACACGGUCCAGACUCUUACGGGAAGCAGCAGUGGGGAAUAUUGCACAAUGGGCGCAAGCCUGAUGCAGCCAUGCCGCGUGUGUGAAGAAGGCCUUCGGGUUGUAAAGCACUUUCAGUCGUGAGGAAGGUGGUGUAGUUAAUAGCUGCAUUAUUUGACGUUAGCGACAGAAGAAGCACCGGCUAACUCCGUGCCAGCAGCCGCGGUAAUACGGAGGGUGCGAGCGUUAAUCGGAAUUACUGGGCGUAAAGCGCAUGCAGGUGGUUUGUUAAGUCAGAUGUGAAAGCCCGGGGCUCAACCUCGGAAUAGCAUUUGAAACUGGCAGACUAGAGUACUGUAGAGGGGGGUAGAAUUUCAGGUGUAGCGGUGAAAUGCGUAGAGAU